GAACGAACGCUGGCGGCAGGCCUAACACAUGCAAGUCGAGCGAGAUCUUCGGGUCUAGCGGCGGACGGGUGAGUAACGCGUGGGAAUAUGCCCUUCUCUGCGGAAUAGCCUCGGGAAACUGAGCGUAAUACCGCAUACGCCCUUUGGGGGAAAGAUUUAUCGGAGAAGGAUUAGCCCGCGUUGGAUUAGGUAGUUGGUGGGGUAACGGCCUACCAAGCCGACGAUCCAUAGCUGGUUUGAGAGGAUGAUCAGCCACACUGGGACUGAGACACGGCCCAGACUCCUACGGGAGGCAGCAGUGGGGAAUCUUAGACAAUGGGGGCAACCCUGAUCUAGCCAUGCCGCGUGAGUGAUGAAGGCCUUAGGGUUGUAAAGCUCUUUCAGCUGGGAAGAUAAUGACGGUACCAGCAGAAGAAGCCCCGGCUAACUCCGUG
rnacentral:rRNA from 1 species